rnacentral:tRNA from 1 species
GGAUGUAGCUUAGUUCGGUUAAAGUGCUGGUCUGGGGGACCAGAGACCGUGGGUUCGAAUCCCGCCAUCC